rnacentral:rRNA from 1 species
AUACGGAGGGUCCAAGCGUUAUCCGGAAUCAUUGGGUUUAAAGGGUGCGCAGGCGGUUUAUUAAGUCAGUGGUGAAACCUCAGGGCUCAACCUUGAAACUGCCAUUGAUACUGAUAAACUUGAGUUCAGUUGGAGUAGGCGGAAUGUGUAGUGUAGCGGUGAAAUGCUUAGAUAUUACACAGAACACCGAUAGCGAAGGCAGCUUACUAAACUGAUACUGACGCUGAGGCACGAAAGCGUGGGGAGCGAACAGGAUUAGAAACCCUAGUAGUCC